UACAGAGGGUGCAAGCGUUGUUCGGAAUUAUUGGGCGUAAAGGGCGCGUAGGCGGUGCUGUAAGUCUGUGUGAAAUCUCUGGGCUCAACUCAGAGUCUGCCAUAGAAACUGCAGUGCUGGAGUGUGGGAGAGGUGAGUGGAAUUCCCGGUGUAGCGGUGAAAUGCGUAGAUAUCGGGAGAACACCUGUGGCGAAAGCGGCUCACUGGACCACAACGUGACGCUGAGGCGCGGAAAGCGUGGGUAGCAAACAGG
rnacentral:rRNA from 1 species